UGGGAUGUCGUCUAACGGCAGGACAAUGGCCUUUGGAGUCGUUUAUGCUGGUUCGAUUCCAGCCGUCCCAGCCA
rnacentral:tRNA from 1 species